UACGUAGGGUGCAAGCGUUGUCCGGAAUUAUUGGGCGUAAAGAGCUCGUAGGCGGUCUGUUGCGCCGGCUGUGAAAACCCGGGGCUCAACUCCGGGCCUGCAGCCGAUACGGGCAGACUAGAGUUCGGCAGGGGGAGACUGGAAUUCCUGGUGUAGCGGUGAAAUGCGCAGAUAUCAGGAGGAACACCGGUGGCGAAGGCGGGUCUCUGGGCCGAUACUGACGCUGAGGAGCGAAAGCGUGGGGAGCAAACAGG
rnacentral:rRNA from 1 species